rnacentral:rRNA from 1 species
GCCAGCGUAUGUAAUCAGAUUUGCUCCACACUCUUUCGCAAGUCAGCAUCAGAAAAUAUCCAGCAAGCGGCGUUAGCCACAGGCAUUAUUCCCGAGAUCUAGACAUUCCCCUUCUACACGUAAAAUUCCAUUAGCAUGUACGUUUCUAUAGCCGGGCAGUAUACCAAACAAUCCCCGGAGUUGAGCCCCGGUCUUUCACACGGUAAUUACUCGGCCGCCUACGUUAUCCUUUAAUUCCAGUGAUAAAGAACAACGCUCGCUCCCUCCGUAUUACCGCGGAAAGUGGCACGGAGUUAGCCGGAUUUCCUGUGGUGGUACCGUCAGUAGAGUGCAGUAUUGGAGGACCCGGGGUUUGUUGUAGCGGACAGGGGUUUACAACCCUAAGGCCUUCCUCCCCCACGCGGCGUCGCUGCGUCAGGCUUUCGCCCAUUGCGCAAUAUUCCCCACUAGCCCUCAGGUAGGAAUACGGGCCGUGCCUCAGUCCCAGUGUGGCUGCUCACGGUCUUACGUCAUUUACCCGUCAUAGCCUUGGUAG